UGCGUGUGGUUUUUCUCCCUUGUGAAAAGUCGUUUUAUUGGGUGGUAAUAGUUACUGGAGGGCGGGUGAGUGAAGAGGACAGUGUUGCUUGAUGAGGGAUUCGAGAACAACAGCAGGAGAGUGAAUUACCCUGUUUGCAUUGGAGAGGAGCUGAGUAACUGAGAACUGAGUCUUGUAAUUGCACACGUUUGACACUGAAUUGGAUGUGGUUUGGAGUGUUUGGAUCACGAUCAUAAUCACUGAGUGGAUUGUAUUGAUUCAUUACCGAUCUCUUACCUCUCCCUCCUCUAUAAAUGGUGAUGUGAACUCUGCCUGUGACUGUGAAGAAAAACAUCUCAGAACAUCCUUAGUGGCAGUGAGGAUUGCGCCCUCCCCCUUCCCCUCGGACAGAAACCCGAAUAAAAGCUCUGUGCAACCUGUUGACUUCGAGUCUGCUGUAUCCCUGCCAUUCAACUGUAUGGUGAGAGGUGUUCGCUCCUUCCAAUACAUGUGAACUGUAUACUUGCCUGAAACAUCCAUUCUGGCGUCUCAGAAGAAGCCCCAUUCAGCCUGUUGACUUCGAGUCUGCUGUAUCCCUGCCAUUCAACUGUAUGGUGAGAAGUGUUCGCUCCUUCCAAUGCAUGUGAACUGUAUACUUGCCUGAAACAUCCAUUCUGUCUGUCUCAGAAGAAGCCCCAUUCAGCCUGUUGACUUCGAGUCUGCUGUAUCCCUGCUAUUCAUCUGUAUGAGGAAGCCCCAUUCAAGCCUGUUGACUUCGAGUCUGCUGUAUCCCUGCUAUUCAUCCGUAUUGUUGAGAAGUGUUCGUUCUUCCAACGCAUUGUGAACUGUAUACUUUGUCUGAAGCAUCCAUUCUGUCUGUUUUCAGUAGAACCCUGCACAGCCUGUUGACUUAGAGUUUGUUGCAUCCUUGUGGCCCACCUGUUGCUGAGAGAGGUGACUGCCUUUGUCGCGAACGUGAGAUGGGCACGGCUUUGUCUGGAAUAUCCACUCUGACGGCGGUCAGGAGAAGCCACCUUACUGUAAGACCGUGCACCUGCCGUAUACGUACUUGACUGAUAUCAUUCACCUCAAAUUCCGUACCUGUGGAAGAAGAAAGAAGGCUGGAAUUACAUACGUACGGAGGAGAUUACCGGACCCCCUCACUUGCCAAAACAUCCCCACCUCAAGCGUGUAUCUGCCGUGUACGACCUGACGAUAUCCAUCCGUCCCAAAUUCUGCAUCUGUGAAGAAGGGAA
rnacentral:lncRNA from 1 species